CCUACGGGAGGCAGCAGUGGGGAAUAUUGCACAAUGGGGGAAACCCUGAUGCAGCGACGCCGCGUGAAGGAAGAAGGUCUUCGGAUCGUAAACUUCUAUCAGCAGGGAAGAAUGAAGUGACGGUACCUGACUAAGAAGCCCCGGCUAACUACGUGCCAGCAGCCGCGGUAAUACGUAGGGUGCGAGCGUUAUCCGGAAUUAUUGGGCGUAAAGAGCUCGUAGGCGGUUUGUCGCGUCUGUCGUGAAAGUCCGGGGCUUAACCCCGGAUCUGCGGUGGGUACGGGCAGACUAGAGUGCAGUAGGGGAGACUGGAAUUCCUGGUGUAGCGGUGGAAUGCGCAGAUAUCAGGAGGAACACCGAUGGCGAAGGCAGGUCUCUGGGCUGUAACUGACGCUGAGGAGCGAAAGCAUGGGGAGCGAACAGGAUUAGAUACCCCUGUAGUC
rnacentral:rRNA from 1 species